rnacentral:rRNA from 1 species
UAGGGAAUCUUCCGCAAUGGACGCAAGUCUGACGGAGCAACGCCGCGUGAGUGAAGAAGGCUUUCGGAUCGUAAAACUCUGUUGUUAGAGAAGAACAAGUGCUAGAGUAACUGUUAGCGCCUUGACGGUAUCUAACCAGAAAGCCACGGCUAACUACGUGCCAGCAGCCGCGGUAAUACGUAGGUGGCAAGCGUUGUCCGGAUUUAUUGGGCGUAAAGCGAGCGCAGGCGGUUCCUUAAGUCUGAUGUGAAAGCCCCCGGCUCAACCGGGGAGGGUCAUUGGAAACUGGGGAACUUGAGUGCAGAAGAGGAGAGUGGAAUUCCAUGUGUAGCGGUGAAAUGCGUAGAUAUAUGGAGGAACACCAGUGGCGAAGGCGACUCUCUGGUCUGUAACUGACGCUGAGGCUCGAAAGCGUGGGUAGCAAACAGGAUUAGAUACCCUGGUAGUCCACGCCGUAAACGAUGAGUGCUAAGUGUUGGAGGGUUUCCGCCCUUCAGUGCUGCAGUUAACGCAUUAAGCACUCCGCCUGGGGAGUACGACCGCAAGGUUG